AAUACUCUAGUGUGUGUGACCCCAUAGGUUCUAUUCUGACUGGUAGUGAGAUAUAGUGUGAUCUCUAUCACAAUAUCAUUGAAAACUCCUUUCAAUGGAUUGGAACGAUUCCAACUCUACUCAUUAGGGUUUAUCGAUCAUCAAGAUAAUCCCUAUGAGUCCCAUCAUCCACCAGUGACACCUAGCAGCAUGUAGUGGCUACCCAGCAGAAUAGAAUGAUGAACCUCUAGGUGCAGUUAUUAUGUGAUACAGUCCUUCUAUCGUGGAUCCCUACAAGACGGAGGUCAUGGACAACUCGUCAAACUCCAUCGUCUAUCAUAUGUCAAGAUUUAUUCGACUUAAG
rnacentral:lncRNA from 1 species